CGAGUGAACCGGGAAGAGCUCAAAUUUGAAAUCUGGCGUCCUCAGGGCGUCCGAGUUGUAAUCUAUAGAGGCGUUUUCCGUGCCGGACCGUGUCCAAGUUCCUUGGAACAGGAUAUCAAAGAGGGUGACAAUCCCGUACUUGACACGACGACCGGUGCUCUGUGAUACGUCUUCUACGAGUCGAGUUGUUUGGGAAUGCAGCUCAAAAUGGGUGGUGAGUUCCAUCUAAAGCUAAAUAUUGGCGAGAGACCGAUAGCGAACAAGUACCGUGAGGGAAAGAUGAAAAGCACUUUGGAAAGAGAGUUAAACAGUACGUGAAAUUGUUGAAAGGGAAACGAUUGAAGUCAGUCGUGACCGAGAGGCUCAGCCGGUUCUGCCGGUGUAUUCCCCUCGGUCGGGUCAACAUCAGUUUUGUCCGGUGGAUAAGGGCGGUAGGAAGGUGGCACCCUCGGGUGUGUUAUAGCCUGCCGUCGCAUACAUCGGGUGAGACUGAGGAACGCAGCUCGCCUUUAUGGCCGGGGUUCGCCCACGUCCGAGCUUAGGAUGUUGACAUAAUGGCUUUAAACGACCCGUCUUGA
rnacentral:rRNA from 1 species